UUUUUUUUUAAAUAUUUUUUAAAAAAUGCUGUUUUUGUGCAACAGCUCUUAUUGAAUCACAUGCUGUUUGAUUUAUUUGAAACAGAUAAUAAAAGAGGAUACUGUGGGUGUUGGAGAGGCCCCACUGAAAUAGUAUAAUCUUUGCUCUCUGUCAUAUUUUUACUAUGUUUAAAAUCAUGUUUAUGUAUACAUUUAUAAAUACACAUAUAAACAUGCAUGCACAGUUUUCUCAUUUGAAAGUAAAUAUUUGUCUGAAUAAUUGAGCUGAAUCAGUUUUCACUGUGUAAGUUGUAGAUUUGUUCCCUCUGCUUCAAGCAGUCGGUCUAGCUGACUUUCUUGAGGCACUGAGGGCAGUUUGAGUGCAUUACAGCAGACUGAUCUUCUCUGUUAUCUUUCCAUUGUGAGUGCACGAAAGGAUCUCACAGAUAAACAUGUGGUCCCUGACACUCCAGCCACCUGUUCUGCACCAGUCUCACCUCCAGCUGAGGCUCAGACAAACAAAUCAAAGAAGGCUUCCUGGUGGCGCAGAUGGCUUUUUUGUGAGGCAGAAAAAGUCAAAGGUUUUUCCCAAAAAUGAAGACAAGGCAGAAGACACGGUCGUGCCACCUUCUGAACCCGAACAGAGGUACGAUAUUAUUUUACUGUCUGAACAAGUACUGCUGGUACUCCUUCUUUCUUGGAUCAUGAAGGAGAAUCUUUUGUGUUUUGUCCAGUGUUAACCCCGUCAGCCAGUAGACUUGUAGUCACGACUGCCUAAUCCGAGACUAAGACAAGACCAAGACCAGAGGGUAUCGAGACCAAGACCAAUACCGAGACAAAAAAAGUCUUUAGACUGCAGCCAGAUGCUGCUACGUUUAUGGGUGUCAGGCAUAUUUAUGUUUUUGCUUUCGCACAGCCCUCCUCACCGCUGUCUACUGUCUCACUCACUGAGAGGACAGACGAAUGCUCCACUUGACUGUCGCGUCUCUCACCCUCUCUGUUUUUCACACAAUGAUAUUAUCCUAUAUCCUCGCAUGUGAUUGGCCACAAUAUGGAGGGAUUGGAGCAUAACUGAGCCACUGUGUGAGAGCUGUGCAGCGAAAGGAAAUCAAGUGAGGGUAGAAAUGACUGAAAGAUUAUAAGGCUCUGUUUUGAGUUUUGUUCAAAAAAGAAUGACUUCAUAUAGGAAAAAAAUAAAUAUCACCUUAAACUAGUUUUUAAUGAAGCAGCAAAGCAAGCAAGCAAGCAAGCAAUUUAUUUAUAUAACACUUUCAGAUCAGCCCCCAGCUGAACACAAAGUGCUGUACACUUGACAUGCCAAAGUGAUACAUUGAACAUGUUAAAAAAUAUAAAAAUAAAUAAAAUAUAUAUAUAAAAAUAAUUAUUAAAAUGACAUUAAAAUAAAUAAAAUUAGCAUAAAUAGCAAAAACAAUAAUAAAAUAGUAUAAAAAUAAUGAUGAGAAUUACAUUUAAAACAAUAAAAUCAGCACAUUAGAUCAAAACAAUAAAAUCAAUAAAAUCGGGUCAGACUGUGUCAUAUGCCAAGGAGUAAAAAUGGGUUUUAAGAUGUGUUUUAAAAGUGGACAGUGAGGGGGCCUCUCUAAUGUGCUGGGGCAGAUUGUUCCACAGAUUAGGAGCAGCAAUAGAGAAGGCCCUGUCCCCUCUGAGCUUCCUCUUGGACCUGGGUACCUCCAGGAGCAGCUUGUCAGCUGACCUGAGAGACCUGGGGGGUGAGUAAGGAUGCAGAAGCUCAGAGAGGUAAGUUUGGGCAAGACCGUUUAAACAUUUAAAAACAAACAUGAGGAUUUUAAAAUGAACUCUAAGAUAUACAGGCAGCCAAUGGACUGAAGCCAGGAUGGGAGUUAUGUGCUCUCUUUUACGAGUUUUGGUUAAAAGUCGUGCAGCAGAAUUCUGGACCAGCUGCAGACGAGAGAGAAGAUGCUGACUAACUCCACAAUACAGAGCAUUACAGUAAUCUAGACGACAUGAAAUAAAAGCAUGGAUUACCGUUUCAAGAUGCGGCCUGGAUAAAAUAGGUCUUAUCUUUGCCAAGCGCCUUAAAUGGUAAAAACUGGACUUGACAGUAGCCCUAAUUUGACUGUCUAAUUUAAAAUCACUGUCCAUCUUAAAACCCAGGUUUGUAACAACAGAUUUAAAAUACUCUGCCAGGGGUCCCAAAUCAAUAGCAGAGGGUUAGCAAAGCAGAACAAAGUCGGGCUGUAUCAAGACACAGGGACUAAACCCCAAUUCAACCAGACCCAGAACUGAUCUGGAAUUAAAACAGGACUACAACAGUUCAAAAUCAGGACUACUUAGGACUUAACCAAAACAGAAACAGAAUCAAAACUAGAUGAUAGUAGCACUAAAAAUCAUCAUAGACCUGCAUUGCACUUAUUUUUUAAUUCUACCAAAGUAUCAGAAUCAGAAUCAGAAUCUUUAUUGUCAUUGCCACAGGUACAACGAAAUUAAGAAAGGUCCCCGAUCACUGCAUCAUCCCUAACAAUAUCAAAAUAUAAAUACACUAUUUAGAUUCAGAAAAGUUUAUAUAAUUAUUUAGCCUUCAUAAGACUGCAUAACUUAAUAAAUAUAGAAUUUGAAAAGUAACAAAUGGUAUCUAAAAAGUUACACUAGGCACUAGAUACAUGUUCUGAUGAGUUUUGGCAAACAACCAUUUGACUAACAUGUGUGUCUCACCUGCUCUUGUUCCAUCUCUGUUCUGUCCUCAUUCUCCUCUCUCUCCCUCUCUGUUCCUCUCUCUCCCUCUCUGUUCCUCUCUCUCCCUCUCUGUUCCUCUCUCUCCCUCUCUGCUCCUUUCUCUCCCUCUCUGCUCCUCUCUCCCUCUCUGCUCCUCUCCUCUCCUCUCCUUCCUGCACUGCAUGCUGGGAGUGUGAGUGAAUGGGUGUGUGAAGGUGUGUGGUGAGUGCGUGGAGCUGCUGAGUGAGUUUGGGACGUUUGGUCUGCUUUUUUCCGGAAAACUUUGGGUUUAUGGGUGGUUAAAAGCAGUGUUGGUCAAGUUACUUGAAAAAAGUAAUCAGUUACUAAUUACUGAUUACUUCCCCCCAAAAAGUAAUCCCGUUACUUUACUGAUUAGUUAUUUUCAAAAGUAAUUAAUUACUUAGUUACUUAGUUACUUUUUAAAAACACGAUUUACAACCUGAAUAGGUGAUAAAGCGAUAGAUCUUUCAGCCCAAUUCUACUUUUUCUGCAUAAUUCAUCAUACAAAAUGUAAUCAAAUGGAAAAGUCUCUUUUUAAAACUUGUUUUAUUAGUUUUAAUCUUUUAACUUUAUGCAUCAAGCAAAAAAUUUAAUUAUAUGCAACAUUCUCUGACUGGAAGAAAUUUGUUUAACAUUUAAACCUAUUUUCUGCACAUUCCAGCAUAUAAAAUAAAAUAUUUUUUUGUGUUUACACUCACUCUUUCAAAUAGAUGCAAGUAAAACACAGCAGAAAAUAAAUAAAAUCAAAGACUAGCGGUCCUGUUGCUCUAUUUUCACCUGUAAAGCAGGACUGGGGUAGGCGGAGGUUUACCCUGGUGCAGGUGUGCUGCAGCGGUCAGUGGAAGAAUCCGCGAGUUUCUCUGUAGCUGUGUCCCAAAACGUCGGCUGCAUCCUCCGGAGGCCGCAUUUGAAGGCCGAUUACGUCACAGCCCGGCGACGAAGGCUGUCC
ensembl:lncRNA